rnacentral:rRNA from 1 species
GACGAACGCUGGCGGCGUGCCUAAUACAUGCAAGUAGAACGCACAGGAUGCACCGUAGUUUACUACACCGUAUUCUGUGAGUUGCGAACGGGUGAGUAACGCGUAGGUAACCUGCCUGGUAGCGGGGGAUAACUAUUGGAAACGAUAGCUAAUACCGCAUAAGAACAUUUACUGCAUGGUAGAUGUUUAAAAGGUGCAAAUGCAUCACUACCAGAUGGACCUGCGUUGUAUUAGCUAGUAGGUGAGGUAACGGCUCACCUAGGCGACGAUACAUAGCCGACCUGAGAGGGUGAUCGGCCACACUGGGACUGAGACACGGCCCAGACUCCUACGGGAGGCAGCAGUAGGGAAUCUUCGGCAAUGGGGGGAACCCUGACCGAGCAACGCCGCGUGAGUGAAGAAGGUUUUCGGAUCGUAAAGCUCUGUUGUUAAGGAAGAACGAGUGUGAGAAUGGAAAG